rnacentral:lncRNA from 1 species
UUUUAAGUACCACUCAUGGUUAAGCGUAACACACACACAUUAGUCAUACUUUUAUGUUGAUUGUUGUUGUUGAUUAUCACAAAAACUACAAGGAAACUAAACUUAUCACCAAAUGUCACCAUCUGAUUUUGAUUAUGAAGUAUCUUCUCUGCUACUGAAUUUUCGGAAAGAAUUGUUUCUUCUUUUUGAAAGGUUUUUAUUUAAGUCAGUCUUACAUUUAGACAUUAUUCUUUGUCUUGUCUAAGAAUUGUACAAGUAAAU